UGGGGAAUAUUGCACAAUGGGCGCAAGCCUGAUGCAGCCAUGCCGCGUGUAUGAAGAAGGCCUUCGGGUUGUAAAGUACUUUCAGCGGGGAGGAAGGGAGUAAAGUUAAUACCUUUGCUCAUUGACGUUACCCGCAGAAGAAGCACCGGCUAACUCCGUGCCAGCAGCCGCGGUAAUACGGAGGGUGCAAGCGUUAAUCGGAAUUACUGGGCGUAAAGCGCACGCAGGCGGUUUGUUAAGUCAGAUGUGAAAUCCCCGGGCUCAACCUGGGAACUGCAUCUGAUACUGGCAAGCUUGAGUCUCGUAGAGGGAGGUAGAAUUCCAGGUGUAGCGGUGAAAUGCGUAGGGAUCUGGAGGAAUACCGGUGGCGAAGGCGGCCCCCUGGACGAAGACUGACGCUCAGGUGCGAAAGCGUGGGGAGCAAACGGG
rnacentral:rRNA from 1 species